ACCCACCAGCCCCAAAGCACUCUGGGUGAACAGCUACUCCUCUGGUUUCUCAUUGGCUCUCUCACUGUCAAUCAACAGCUUGUUCCUAGCCCAAGCAUUUCCUGGUCCACGUUACCAAUAGCAGAAAGAAGUGGAGGUUUAUUGCUUGGCUGUAGACAGCACGAGCAAGAAAGGUAGCCUCCCACCCCGAGCAGCUGCUGUGAUUAGAAAACGAGCGUGAGCCUCUUCACUGAAGGAAUAGAUGAUUAUCCUUUGGGUUCGCCCUGCUUCCCUGUUAUUAAGAAUCAGCUGAAAUGCCUGAAAAUUGUCGAGUUUCAGGGCUUUUCCCUGGAAAUGGCACACCUCCCAGAUGCAUCUUCUUCACAGGGUUGUUGCAAGGUUUGAGAAAAUGAACUAAUAUACAUGACUGAGAAUAGCGUCUGGACCACAGCUCUCCCAAUCCUGAAGAGAUUAUGUAAGAGUCUAGCACAUUUUAAAGGUCUGAAGAGGAAAUAUUUGUCAUCUGUUGUCUCUAAGGGCAGCCACUCUACAACUUCAAAAGAACCUUGGUCUCCACAAUCUCUUAUCUUAGCCUGAACAUUUCCUUUCUAUUCAUCCCAGGUCUUUAGAUAAACUCAACCAAUUGUCAAUCGGAAAAUGUUUAAAUUUACCUAUAGCCUGGAAGCCUCCACUUUGAGUUGUUCUGCCUUUCUGGACCAAAUCAAUGUAUCUCUUAACUGUAUUUGAUAUCUCAUGGCUCCCUAAAAUGUAUAAAACCAAGCUACACCCUGACCACCUUGGGCACAUGUUCUCAGCACCUCCUGAAGGCUGUGUCACAGGCUAUGGUCACUCAUAUUGGGUUCAUAAUAAAUCUCUUCAAUUAUUUUAGAGUUUGACUCUU
rnacentral:lncRNA from 13 species